rnacentral:rRNA from 1 species
AUUGAACGCUGGCGGCAGGCCUAACACAUGCAAGUCGAGCGGAUGAAGGGAGCUUGCUCCUGGAUUCAGCGGCGGACGGGUGAGUAAUGCCUAGGAAUCUGCCUGGUAGUGGGGGAUAACGUCCGGAAACGGGCGCUAAUACCGCAUACGUCCUGAGGGAGAAAGUGGGGGAUCUUCGGACCUCACGCUAUCAGAUGAGCCUAGGUCGGAUUAGCUAGUUGGUGGGGUAAAGGCCUACCAAGGCGACGAUCCGUAACUGGUCUGAGAGGAUGAUCAGUCACACUGGAACUUGGACACGGUCCAUGCUCCUACGGGAGGCAGCAGUGGGGAAUGUUGGGCAGUGGGCGAAAGCCUGAUCCAGCCAUGCCGCGUGUGUGAAGAAGGUCUUCGGAUUGUAAAGCACGUUAAGUUGGGAGGAAGGGCAGUAAGUUAAUACCUUGCUGUUUUGACGUUACCAACAGAAUAAGCACCGGCUAACUUCGUG